rnacentral:siRNA from 1 species
CAGGAAGUCCUCGUGUUGCAUCC